AGCAGAUGAAGUCUUUUUCUCUCAUGAUGGUCUGUGAAGGCCCUUCAGGCAGUGCUAACAACACCAAUGAUUCAGCUCAUACCAGUGG